rnacentral:rRNA from 1 species
CGCUGAAGACUGGUGCUUGCACUAGUCAGAUGAGUUGCGAACGGGUGAGUAACGCGUAGGUAACCUACCUCAUAGCGGGGGAUAACUAUUGGAAACGAUAGCUAAUACCGCAUGACAAUUAAGUACUCAUGUACUAAAUUUAAAAGGAGCAAUUGCUUCACUAUGAGAUGGACCUGCGUUGUAUUAGCUAGUUGGUGAGGUAACGGCUCACCAAGGCCACGAUACAUAGCCGACCUGAGAGGGUGAUCGGCCACACUGGGACUGAGACACGGCCCAGACUCCUACGGGAGGCAGCAGUAGGGAAUCUUCGGCAAUGGGGGCAACCCUGACCGAGCAACGCCGCGUGAGUGAAGAAGGUUUUCGGAUCGUAAAGCUCUGUUGUUAGAGAAGAACGGUAAUGGGAGUGGAAAAUCCAUUACGUGACGGUAACUAACCAGAAAGGGACGGCUAACUACGUGCCAGCAGCCGCGGUAAUACGUAGGUCUCGAGCGUUGUCCGGAUUUAUUGGGCGUAAAGCGAGCGCAGGCGGUUAUUUAAGUCUGAAGUUAAAGGCCGUGGCUCAACCAUGGUUCGCUUUGGAAACUGGAUAACUUGAGUGCAGAAGGGGAGAGUGGAAUU